rnacentral:rRNA from 1 species
GCUUGCCUGGGGUGGAUGAGUGGCGAACGGGUGAGUAACACGUGAGUAACCUGCCCCAGACUCUGGGAUAACUCCGGGAAACCGGGGCUAAUACUGGAUAUGACAUCCUGCUGCAUGGUGGGGUGUGGAAAGGCUUGUCUGGUUUGGGAUGGGCUCGCGGCCUAUCAGCUUGUUGGUGGGGUGAUGGCCUACCAAGGCGGUGACGGGUAGCCGGCCUGAGAGGGUGACCGGCCACACUGGGACUGAGACACGGCCCAGACUCCUACGGGAGGCAGCAGUGGGGAAUAUUGCACAAUGGGCGCAAGCCUGAUGCAGCGACGCCGCGUGAGGGAUGACGGCCUUCGGGUUGUAAACCUCUUUCAGUAGGGAAGAAGCCUUCGGGUGACGGUACCUGCAGAAGAAGCGCCGGCUAACUACGUGCCAGCAGCCGCGGUAAUACGUAGGGCGCAAGCGUUGUCCGGAAUUAUUGGGCGUAAAGAGCUCGUAGGCGGUUUGUCGCGUCUGCUGUGAAAACGCGAGGCUCAACCUCGCGCCUGCAGUGGGUACGGGCAGACUAGAGUGCGGUAGGGGAGACUGGAAUUCCUGGUGUAGCGGUGGAAUGCGCAGAUAUCAGGAGGAACACCGGUGGCGAAGGCGGGUCUCUGGGCCGUAACUGACGCUGAGGAGCGAAAGCAUGGGGAGCGAACAGGAUUAGAUAC